UACGUAGGGGGCGAGCGUUGUCCGGAUUCAUUGGGCGUAAAGAGCUCGUAGGCGGCUUGGCAAGUCGGAUGUGAAAACUCCAGGCUCAACCUGGAGCCGCCAUUCGAUACUGCUAUGGCUAGAGUCCGGUAGGGGAGUGUGGAAUUCCCGGUGUAGCGGUGAAAUGCGCAGAUAUCGGGAGGAACACCGAUGGCGAAGGCAGCUCGCUGGGACGGUACUGACGCUGAGGCGCGAAAGCGUGGGGAGCGAACAGG
rnacentral:rRNA from 1 species